GUUAAGCGACUAAGCGUACACGGUGGAUGCCCUGGCAGUCAGAGGCGAUGAAGGACGUGCUAAUCUGCGAUAAGCGUCGGUAAGGUGAUAUGAACCGUUAUAACCGGCGAUUUCCGAAUGGGGAAACCCAGUGUGAUUCGUCACACUAUCAUUACGUGAAUACAUAGCGUAAUGAAGCGAACCGGGGGAACUGAAACAUCUAAGUACCCCGAGGAAAAGAAAUCAACCGAGAUUCCCCCAGUAGCGGCGAGCGAACGGGGAGCAGCCCAGAGUCUGAAUCAGCUUGUGUGUUAGUGGAACGGUCUGGAAAGUCCGACGGUACAGGGUGAUAGUCCCGUACACCAAAAUGCACAGGUUGUGAACUCGAAGAGUAGGGCGGGACACGUGGUAUCCUGUCUGAAUAUGGGGGGACCAUCCUCCAAGGCUAAAUACUCCUGACUGACCGAUAGUGAACCAGUACCGUGAGGGAAAGGCGAAAAGAACCCCGGCGAGGGGAGUGAAAAAGAACCUGAAACCGUGUACGUACAAGCAGUGGGAGCCUCUUUAUGGGGUGACUGCGUACCUUUUGUAUAAUGGGUCAGCGACUUAUAUUCUGUAGCAAGGUUAACCGUAUAGGGGAGCCGAAGGGAAACCGAGUCUUAACUGGGCGUUAAGUUGCAGGGUAUAGACCCGAAACCCGGUGAUCUAGCCAUGGGCAGGUUGAAGGUUGGGUAACACUAACUGGAGGACCGAACCGACUAAUGUUGAAAAAUUAGCGGAUGACUUGUGGCUGGGGGUGAAAGGCCAAUCAAACCGGGAGAUAGCUGGUUCUCCCCGAAAGCU
rnacentral:rRNA from 1 species